rnacentral:lncRNA from 1 species
AAAAUAGUUAACUUGUGGCUUUGACUAUUAAGCUGAAUCUUUUACACAUUAAAUAUACUAAUUUUUUGACACGUUUGUGUUGCCCGUGGAUUCUAAUUCCUUUAGUACACAAUUUAAGUAAAAUUGCAUCAAUAUUCUGUAACUGACAUUCCUGAAGAGAUCUGCUCAAGCAAGAACAAAAAGUUCCUCACAACCUUUUUUUAACUCAUAGAUGGUGUUUACAUUAACUCAACAACUACAUGACACAUGUCGUUCACAUACACGUAUCGCUGACCAUGGUAAUUCGUAUUGUGUGCUUUCAACCUCGAUCUAUCGAUUAGUCAUAGUAAAACCACUAUGGUUUAGUGUAAACAUCGGAUGUGAGUAAAGGAAUUAGAAUAUUGGAAGUUCAUAUACAAAAAAUCAAACAAACAAAUCCCUCUCCCACCUCAACCAACAUAAUUAAUAAAUGAGCUAGUCAAUUUCAUAAUCUCCUAUUUCUACCCACAACAUUUGUCCCCCACAUCAACCCUAGCUACCUCUCUAAUCAACACUAUUUCCUUUUAUUUUCCCAAAAGUUUUCCACCAUUGGUAAAAAAUUAGGGGUUUCAGAUCGACGAGUUGGAUUGAAUUUAAAUGAGUCAAUAGUUACGUGAACAGAAGUGGACUAAAAAGUGAGUCAUAAUUUAACCAACUUAAUUUUAAUUUCUUUAUUUUCUUUAACUUUUUAGUUGAAAUGAUCACACACUCAUAACUCGUAUAUCGAAAAUUUCAUAAAGCAUAAUUUAUUUAUUUUUGGUACAAAAUUUUUACAAACUUAUCAAAAAGACGUGUUGAUCAAUCCGAUGUUUAAAUUGAUCAAAUUAGUAAUACUUAGGUUAAUCAAAAUUAAGUGAUAUAUUAAGGUAACAAAAUAUUCAUUAAUCAUGAUUAAAUAGUAGACAUACAUGUAAUAGAAUACUUAACACUUAUACAUUAAACCAUAGUUUAAUGUAAAUAUGGAGAAGGGUCAAAAUUGCCCCUGAACUUUAUGAAAUAGAUCACUUAUACCCUCCGUUACAUUUUGGGAUCAAAAAUACCCCCGCNNNNNNNNNNNNNNNNNNNNNNNNNNNNNNNNNNNNNNNNNNNNNNNNNNNNNNNNNNNNNNNNNNNNNNNNNNNNNNNNNNNNNNNNNNNNNNNNNNNNNNNNNNNNNNNNNNNNNNNNNNNNNNNNNNNNNNNNNNNNNNNNNNNNNNNNNNNNNNNNNNNNNNNNNNNNNNNNNNNNNNNNNNNNNNNNNNNNNNNNNNNNNNNNNNNNNNNNNNNNNNNNNNNNNNNNNNNNNNNNNNNNNNNNNNNNNNNNNNNNNNNNNNNNNNNNNNNNNNNNNNNNNNNNNNNNNNNNNNNNNNNNNNNNNNNNNNNNNNNNNNNNNNNNNNNNNNNNNNNNNNNNNNNNNNNNNNNNNNNNNNNNNNNNNNNNNNNNNNNNNNNNNNNNNNNNNNNNNNNNNNNNNNNNNNNNNNNNNNNNNNNNCUUUGGAUAAAACUCCACACUUAGUAUCUGGUUGUUUAUCAAAAGAAAUAAUAUGUUCAACUUUUUUUCGUUCCACAUGGUAUUGAAAUGUAGAAUUAGUAACAGAAUACAUAACUUUGAAUACAUUGCUUGAGUUAUGGAACUUAUGGAGGUUAAUUUUUGGGAGGAUGAAUUGAUAGGUUAGUGGAAAUCCUAGUUGGCAGCUCAGGUGGAGGAAUCAGUCCUAUGUGGCUUGCCACGUCACUAAAAAUUUAGAAUGUUAACUUUUGAAGGGUAUUUGUGGUCACUUGGGAUAACGGCGGGGGUAUUUUUGAUCCAAAAAUAUAACGGAGGGUAUAAGUGAUCUAUUUCAUAUAGUUCAGGGGCAAAUUUGACCCUUUUCCGAUGUAAAUAUGAUAAAAUUCGAUUUACUAGUAUAAAAAGUCAUGUGUAGUAUUAUUCUUUGUUCGACUAAAAUGAAUUUAAAUGAUACGACAUGAACUGUGAAGACUCGUAUACGAACACAAGCCUCUUAGCUUCCACAACCAAUCCUUAUUUACUAAAUUCCGAACACAUGCAAAUCAGAAAAGACCGAUGCGUUGUUGAACAAUAGGCAGCGGCUUUAGGAUUUGAACUUUUUAUGAGUGCGGAAAUAUUAAUUAAAAAAACAUGAGCGGAAGGGAAGACUUUGCACCUCUAAAUUAUCUUAUCAGAGCCAAGUAUCGAUCAUGGACCUGUGGGUUAUGGGCCCACCACGCUUCCGCUGUGCCACUCUGAUUUGUUGUUAAUGUUUUGCUCAUAUUAAUAUAAAUAUAUUGUCUUUGUUUUACGUUGAUUUCUAGCAAUAUUAGUUAUUCAUGAAUAAUUUACCUUCCUAACUAGCCAACAAACAUGAUAUUGCUUAUGCCAGAUUUAAUACAUGUAUAACUCAUUUACAAACCAAAUACCAAAUCAUAACAAUUUGUAAUCGUCGAUGUGUAAUCAAUGUUGAUAUAUAUUAUUACUCCACAUAAUUUGAAUUCCAAGAAUCAAACUUCUUUAUUUUAACUAUGCAUUCAUACAUACAAUUAUUUAAGCUUUUUAAAAAAUAAUUUGCAUAAAUAUAAAUAAUUUAUUUUGAAGUUUGUGUAUCUCAAAAUUGAAGUGUGUUUUUGUUUAUUAUGUCUUGUGAUAAAACCUGGACUAGAUUCCACGCUUAUGUAUUAUGCCAUAUUAUAAAACCUGGGCAACAUUUUAUGUUGAACUGGCACUACAACGACAUACCCAAUGUAACCGACAUCCAAUCCAACAAAUAAAGUCCGAAGAGGAUAGAAUGUGCAAACAACCUUAAUCCUACCUCACCUAUUAUUUGCGAAGGACCCUCGAGAAAAAAUAAAUAUGGAACUAGCAUUGUAAACAUAAAAUUUCGGAUGUCUUCAACCAAGGGAUAUGCAAUCGGAAAGCAGCGCUGAUGCAGCCAGAUCACCGAUGCACCGGAAAAAGUAUAACUCUUCUCACUUCCACAACAGUUUUUCUAACUUGAAAGGCGAUAAAUCAUUGAUUGUAUAAGCUGUUAAAAGGUAGAAAUACAAGGGAGACUGGCAAAAGAACGAAUGCAGUGCUAUUGUAAUCGUAAAUUCUAUCAUCAUUGACAAGCAAAAUGCUUCGUAAGACAUCCACAAAAAUGAUACUGGGUUUACAAGCAACCCAAUAAAAAUAGAAGACCAUUACCUGCAUGAUUAUAUACCCAAUAACUUAAAAGUGCUGCAAUAACAAACACAUCUAUCAUCAUCAUCCCCGUAAUACUAAUAACUGAAGAGUGUAAUUACAUGUCAGGAAGAGCUGAAAGGGUUAACUGGAUUUUGCCUGGACACUGUACAAAAAAGAUAUGGUCGCAGCUUCAAACAAUGAUAUACUCCUUACAAUGCGCAAGUAACAACCUCCGUGUCCUGAAUAACCCACCCUUCCGACACAAUACCACGCCAUGUAACCUUUCUCUCAGGAGAAACAGUAUACCUUCUUUUCAAACAGUACGCUAAACUUCACGAAGAUAACAUGGGUUAUUUGUUCUUUCUCAGCACCGGAUGUCCUGUGCUUGGUUACCUUGACCAGAGAAGAAGACUUCCACCAUGUCAGCCCUCUGACUCGACAUUCAAGAUUAUUGGCAAGGAAUAUGUCACCAACUGACCUGAAUUAUUGGCAAACUCUUUUUACCUCAUCUUAAGGUCAGAUAAGACGGUCACAUGUUGACCGCACAAACCAAAUUGCUGGAUGCAAAACUAUAACCCAUCAAUCAUCAUAUAACAACCAUGCGGUCUUCAACUAUUGUAAUGGAGUUUCUGAUUUUGGAAGCCCUGGCUUUGUGGCCCUUGCUGCUGUUGAGGCUGGGAACUUUGCAAGUUCAAUGGUUGUGUAUUGUAGUGCGCAAAUGGCUGAGAGUAAAUUGGAUUGAGUAAACUCUGGAAAGAAAGGAAACAAAUUCAAGCGCCAUUCCAAGGAAAAACUGAAUCAUCCAAGUCACAAUGAGACUUGGUGAAAUGAACAAAUAGCAAGAAGAGAAUAUUUUGCAAUAAGCAAAGUCUGCCGAACUAUAUCCUGGUGAAGAAUCACCUUCUCAAUCUGGUGGACUUCGCCUGAUGCUUAUUUCAAAUAUUGAUCACAUUGAACAAUUUAGAAAACUCAGGCAGAAUUAAAUAAUAAAUUAACCUGAGACUGAAGUGAAUUAACAUUGGACAUGCCAAAAUGAUUCUGUGAACCAUCAUCUUGUGAUGGAUCAUUAUAUCCAGCUUGCGUAAAUAGACCUUGCGAACCAUGAGACAUAUAGUCCUGCACAGAUAUCAGAAGUUCGAUAAGCAGAGGACCAAAAGCGAACUGGAAGAUAGGAGAAAAGAGAUCAUAGGCGACUUCACAUAGCUCAUCCACCAAGCCACCCAGUCAGAAGUGCCAACAGAUCAGCCCAUCAUGUAUGAUGAACUGCAUUACUUCGAGACUAGACUCUCAUAUUCAAAAUCAUAUCCUCCAGGUCUAAAAGAGUGAGAUGAGGGGCCAAAGAAGUGGAAUUUAAAUUAACCUGAGACAUGAAUUCAUUUCCUGAACCAAAACGGGAGUAUCCAGACUGAGAAUUUUGGUUUAAAAAGUUCCCUGGAAACCCAGCCUGUGCUCCUUGAGUUACAUAAUCAACAGCAUAUGCGCCUUGAGAAGCCUAAAUACCAGUACAACAAAGGCCAGUUAAUAUAAAAAAGAAAUGUUAUCCUACAUAUUAUGCAUAAAUUAAGGCAGUGAUGGCAGGCGCAAUUAACAAAUUACUAGAGGUGUAAAGGACAGGCACCUGUGUAGAGAAGUCAGCAACAUUAUAUGGAACAUGAGACCCCUGGCUCUUGAAAUCAUCUCCCACAAAAUCCUGAUUAAAAAAUUUAAGGUAAAUAUGAUAGAGAAAACAAAUUAACAUAUCAAUUUUGAUGUCCAGAAUCAAUCACCUGUGACAUGCUACCCAUAGAAUGUCCAUCCCGGAAUGACUGGCCUGGUCCCUGGAUAGCCAUCUAUAAUUCAAAAAAGAAAAAAUGCUUACACCAAAUCACUUACCAUUUCAUCAAAUAAACAAACUGAAAAUUUACUGACAUUAGAAGCAUAUCCAGGUUGAGAUAAAGGUCCUCCAAUGGAAGGCUGACUGUUUGGAUUAUCUAAUGCAGGAAAGUUGAAGUUAGAUCCAAUACUUCCGACCGGCUGCUGGGAGCCUUGAUGGUGAGGGAGAUGACUACCAAUUGGGGCAUUGGCGUUGCCACGUCCAGCCCCAAAACCCCGGCUACCUGGCUGUGGAACAUGAGGAACAGCUCCAACAGGCCCAUGGACAGCACCACGAGUAGGAAUUGCAUAUGGUUGUGGAGGGCCUCCGUGGUAAGGGGGAAAGGGAACCCGAGGCAUCGGAUAACCAAUAGGAUGAACACCGGGUUUCUGAGUACCAUUGGGUACACCAGGUGCCAUAUAAGAACCUACCAAAAAUUAUUAAAAAUAUCCUUAGGAAAGCAGACAAAUACAUAUAUAAAUAUACUUGAGAUUCUAAUAAUAAUAAAAAUGCUCCUUCGCUUUUUCCUAGUUUCUCCAAAACCAUUUUGAGAAGAACUCUACAAUACGAAGAACAGCAAAAGCAGGGUUCCUGACAAAUAAUCAGAUGAAACAGAAACAUAUUCCAACGCAGGAAUCCUAUGUGCCAUACAACAUUCAAACAAACAAUUCACAGCCAGUUGGGGGAAGUUCAAGUUCACCAUACCCCUAGGACGACUAUUUCUCCUGUCAGCACUGGAGCCUAAAGCAGAUCCAAAACUGUCACCUGGAACUGCUCCAGGUCCACCACCAAAGAAGAGUCUGCGCUCAUUGUAGAUCUGCAAACCCAUGACACAAAAAGACACCUCAAUACUGAUGCAUAAUCAUGCACGAGCAGACAUGUAACUUAAGUAGAGUAUUUAACCACCAUCAGUACCUUUUUGGGCUUCUGAAAUUGAACCAUGCUCUGUUUUAAGUUAUUGAGAGGACCUUCUACCAAGCACUCGUGCUCCUGCAAGAAAAAUGCAUUGAAGUAUGAACAUCUCAAAAGCAUCAAACACCUACUGACAUCUACACUUUAUACGUCCCUAAGUAUGCAUAUAAUAACAACAAGAUAUAUUUAGCCCAAAAGACUAACCAUCUAAUGUUAGGUCAAACUUGCCAGGUCAUGACUACUUCGAAGAGCAGAGAAAACAUGACAUAAUGCUUAAGUAGUAUUACCAAAGGAGAACAUUUUGAAGAUAUUACCUUGUAGUGUGUUAACAAACCAUUCCACAGAGGCUGUUUGCUCAAGACUUUAGGAUUUCCCAGGAUAACAAUACCAUAACGAGCACGGGUAAGAGCAACAUUAAGCCUGCGUGGAUCAUUAAGGAACCCAAUGCCCUAAAAGAAAGGAGAAAUUAAAAAAAGUCAAAACUUAUGGUUUAAUAGAGAACAGAUGGGACAUGGUGGAAUAGAUUAAAGCACAUGCACAAGAGAGAUGCAGAUCCACCUUGACAAAAUAUAUUAAGCAAGCAAGUACUCAUAAAAACAUAUAUCAACGCCAACAAAAUGUUUCCUACCUCCUGAACACCGAGAUAAAAAGGAAAUGGAACUUUUGCAAACAAAGACCCCAGAGGAGGGAAAAGAGGGAAGGCGUUGUGGUUCAGAGGAUACAAAAAUUGACAACACAACAUAACAAAUCUAAAUAUUUAAAACUAAACAAUUGAGCAUCAAACAAGAGAAAAUCAAUGGAUAAAGCCAACCUGAUGUUCAUUACUCCUGACACACGACAAAAUAAUAUAAUCCUUCUCCCUCCCUUGAAAUGAAUCUACACUUGCAACCUGAACAUAAGCAAAUACUCAAAAUAAGUACUAAUAAUCCAAGGAAACUGUAAUGCCAAUGUAUUAACUGCUUACCUCGAUUUCCUUGUAGAGUUGUUGUCUUAGGGAACCAUUUCUUGCCAUAUAAUUCACAAUAUAUGCCCGUUGACCCUCAUAUGGUGUUAUGACCCCAAUCUGUGAAUAUAUAAUAAUUGCAUUCUUACCACCAAAUGAAGGUGUUCAGCAUUAAGGAUGCAAAUAAGAAUGUACCUGACUGGGGACUACCCCACUCUUAAGAAAUGUAGUCACAAUCUUCUCCACAUUUGCAGCUUCAGUUCUAUUCAGAUAGGAAGUUCCACUAGCACUGAUCUCCUCUUGUCCCAUCUACAGAUAAAUUACCAAGUAUUCAAGUUUAAAUAUAUCAGUCAUAACAGGAAAAAAGUCAUCAAACAAUAUCAAAGAAGCACCAAGAGGCCUUCCGAGAAAUAAUCAUUAAUAUUUCCAUAACCAUCAUAGUAACAUCCAGGUGACCCAAAACAAGAAAUCACAGAAUUUUCCGUGACUCAGACAAGAAGAACUGAAGAUGAAUCAGCUAAACAAAUCGGAUAGUACCUGAACAUAGAAGAACAUGGGACGGUUGGGCACAGGCCAAGGAAAAUCAAUUCCUGAUGAUAGUCUUUCAUUGACGGUUACACCAUUUUGAAGUGUACCUUCAUAAAAGCUAUUUGAUGGGAACUCAGACAAUGCAGGGUGCAUACGGUAUUGUACCUGGAAUUGCAAGCAAAACAGACAACAGAAUCAACAUUAGUAAUGGAAAAAUAAGAAGUCUGACACUUCCAAAUUUAAUAGCUAAAUAAUGGUAAACAGUACUUUGAAAGAGUAUGUGAGCAAGCAACACCCAAAAAGUUCAAGGAAACAGAAAGACAGAAAGAGCCAACCAGGAGGGAACAAAAGACAGCUAAAAUGAGAGGUAAAGAAACUCAGAAAAGGUCAGACACACAAGUAUUACUAGAUAAUGAAAAACUAGAUAUCCAAAUAACAUAAUGCUGUGUGAAGCAUAGAAAAAACAUAAAACCUUAAAACUAGAAUAUCAGGGUGAUGGCAAGUGGCAGAUUGGAAAACACAAUAUAAAAUGACAUGAACAUCUUCAUCCAACCACCACCACCCAAAAGAAAGGGAAAGAAGACUCCUCAAAUCAACAUAGAUGACGAAGGAUCCCUUCAAUCGAUAUGGCAACUAUAUGAGAAACAAGAGAAUAACUGGAAAAAGAGAAUCUUCAAAUUUCACUUCAGCCCCCAACACCCUGGAUGGACAUGUUAACACGUCCAACAGACUCAGAUAAUCACCUGUAACCUAAUUGGUUUCACGCCUAGAAACACAAGGCGUUCAAAGAGAGAUUGAGCCAGCCCAGCACGAGCCGCUUUCUUGCACAUAAUGACAGGUCCAAGCUGGCAAUGAUCACCGACAAGAACAGCCUAGCACAAAACUCAGAGUAAGAAUCCAACAUCGUAUUACAUUUCAGUAUGACAAUUUUUUUAUGAAUGAAGACAUUAAUUGCAAUAAUGACCUGCUUUGCACCAAGAACCAAAGGAAUGAGACAUUCAGGCUCCGUAGCCUGAGUGGAUUCAUCAAUGAGCACCUACGAAGGGGUUUAACAGAAAUGUUAAAACCAGCAUGAAUGAGUACAUAAGAACAAAAAAACAGAAAAGCUAAAAUAGUUGACAAAAAAAUUAGUUUUGUGUAAUAAGGCAAACCAACCUGGCGGAAUCUGAAAUUAGCCAAUCUAGGAUCUCCAGCACCAACGCAUGUGCAACAAAUGACAUCAGCACUCUGAGCUAUUUCCCUCUCUGUUGCCCGCUUCAGAGCUUUAUAUUUCUUCUCAUCACUACUGGAAAGCUCUCCUGAAAGUCCAUUAAAUCAAAUGACUUUGAAUCAGGUGCACACAUUUAGAAUGCUCUAAUAAAGGAUAUUAAAUAAGAAAUAGAAAGGAAAAAACAGAGGACAACUCCAAAAAUAUCCCCAGGUAAAUGCUAAAUCCCUAUACAAGUGUGUGGCCAAAGACUGCAACACCAACCUUGUUCAUCUUUCAGUUGCUGUAACUUAUGAAGUUCACUCUUCUCAGACGUGUCAAGAUGGCGAACCUGUAUAGACAAAAGUUCAAAAGAUAACAUUAAAAAGAGAACGAUAUAUAAACAUUUGAGGAUAAAAAAUUAAAAAGUAACCUGAUAGUGAAGGGUUAAAUGCUCGACAGGAGAACUGACAGCUUCCCUUGACUUGGCACAGAGCCUGACCACCUGGGGAAAAGAAAAUGAAAUAAGGAGGGACCAAAAAUCUCACAAAUUAAAGAAAAAGAUAAUGAUGGAAUUUUUUAUUCACUUCUAUUAUAUUUCUUAUAUUUCUUAUAUUUCCAAUACUUCUAGACUCCUAUCUCCUUCUCCUUCUCCUUCAGUUUGUGUGCAUGGGUGGGACAAGGUCAAUUGGGAAGGAUAUAGGAGAUUCAUUUUUAACCUUCAGUUUACUGACAUACUCAAUCCUUCUGGGGAUAUAAAGAACUCGUUUUUCAGCUCAUCAUCAUAAAAGAGGACAUUCUGCCAGAUGAUUCCACUAGAUAUUUGCAUAAAUGUGGAUUGACCACUAAAAUAGUGAUUGAGCUUAUUAGCCAGUUCAAGAUGUCUUCAUGGAGCUUUUUUCCCACUCAUAUUGGGGAUGGGAAGGAGAUAAAGAAAUAGCUGGUGCCUCACCUUCAGACCGGUGGCACUUAUCUUCUCAGCUAAUUGGUCCACAGCCACGUUACUGGGGGCACAGACCAAAACCUGGUGAAAAAAUAGUUAACAACAACUAAAAAUAGCCAGUAAAUCAAGCGACUAACAUCGAGAACAAAAAUAGGGAAAAAGGACAUCAAAGUUACCUGUCCUUGGCCUUGUUUCGCCAUAUGAUACACAAUGGCGGCAGAGGUGACAGUUUUUCCAGUUCCAGGUGGACCUUGAAUUAAACUGAUGGGCUUCUGAAGAACACUUUUUACAGCAAAAACCUAACAAUAUGAACAUGUCAAAAUAAGACAACCAGAAGUAUAACAAUUCUCACUGUCAAAAAAUAUCCUGUUCAAUAAGGUAUCCCUAAAAAUAAUUGGGAGCAUGGUCAAUAUCAAAGAUAAAAAAAAAUAUGAUGAACUAGCAGAUGGAGCACUCAACCUGAGAUGCAUUAAGCUCCGGAAGACCAGGAGCACCAAAACGACGUGGAAGUGUAUUCCGGACCAUCUGCAUCUCAACUUCAUGACCUAACAGAUGAUGGUAAAUAUACCUGCAUAAGAGGCAAAAAGAAUACAAAACUAAAUACUCCAACAUAGAAGUUACAAACUGGUCAACCCAAAUAAAGUUGGUGGUUAAAUCUAUGAAUCCGGCAUUCCUCUUUUUUAAAAGGUUUUCACUGGCAUCAAGGAGAUGCAUACGAGUUACAAAAUAGUAGCAAAAAUAACUGGCAUUCCUUGUAGUGCAUAAAUUAAUUCAAAGUUUAUUCAUGAUACCAAGAAUGGGAAACAAACGCAAAGAUGCACUACCAUAAAUAUUCCAACGGUGACAAAACUUAAAAAAGAACAGACAUUACUCUAAACAUGAAAUGAAGGAGAAAGAAGGCACAAGCUGAUCUGAUUUUAGAUAGAAUUAUAAAUCUUAGGCAGGUAACACGAUUAAGGACAUGAAAUCUUCACAAUUGUUUUAAAUUGUUCUAUGGUAGAACCCAAAGAUUCUCACUCACCCACUGACACUAGUCUCAUCCACUGCAAAGGUUUUCAUUGCACUCUGCAUCCGAUCAAAGCUCGUACUUUUCCAAACAAAGUCAACACUAAACCCGUGGUUCACAUCGACUGGAACCCCCUGAUGAGACAGGAAUAGUUUAGCAAAGACCCAAAAUACAAACAAACACAUGGUGAAAAAAAGAGAAGAAAAUAUUACAAUGAGACUAGCAAUCUAAAAUCUAAGGUACCUGGCUGACACGAAGUUCAAGCGCAACCUCUUCUUGAGCAGUUAAUUUUACCUGAAAAAUGAAUAGCCAACCAAUAUCUCAAGAGUACAAACCGCAAAAGAAAUCCUUAAAAAAAAUUGAGAAAAAAGGAAACCAGGGGCUUUGGGAGAAGUUCUUUUAAGAAUAUUUUCCACACUAAUUAAAUUUUUCAUGAUGCAGGGAGCCUUUGUCUUUCCAACCAAAUUGUCUCUACUUGUUAAGGGUGUUUGUGGUUAGCCAGACUCCACACUAUAUUUUCCCUCACAAAAAGAUUAGGCUAUCAAGACAAAAGGUCCAUACCACGUGCCCCACAGAUUGCCAAGCUGGAUGAGCUGCAUCCCCGGAAUAUCGUAGCCUUAGCUCAUCACCAGGUACAAGACGCAACUCAUUAUCUUCCUGAAAAAGCAGCAGACUAUCUUCAGUUCAGGUAGGUAAAGACAAUAAAAGGUUUCCAUGCCAUGAUUGAAAUAAUAAAUGACAACAAAAAGCACUAUAACAGUCCACGAAUCUAGAAGAAUCACGGUAGAAAAAAAGAAGUAACAAGGAAAUACCUUCGGGAACACAAAAUAUGCAACGCGCUUCUUGUUGAGACCAAUAUCCCAUCGAAUAGUAAGAUUGUCUUUACUUUGAGACUCUUUCAUCAUCUACCAAGCAGAAAACAAAAUUCCAAAGCUUGUAAGCAUACCCUCAAGAAAAGUAUAAACUCUACUUAAAGGCAAAAGAACAAGAUGAGCAAAUUAAAAAGUAUCACAUCUUUGCUCAUGAGAAACACAGAGAGUAGUAACUGACAUGUCUUAGUUCAAUUGUCACGAAGAUUAAGAACCAAGAAGAAAGAGUCAAUCAAGUGUAAAUGCAAUUGUCCUCAUAAAUUCAGCACUUCUACGGCCAAAACUCACUAUCAGGCAACUUAAGAAGUAACACACCCACUAUCCAAAAGCAAAAGUGAGAAGACACAGGUAGCUUUAAAUAAAAAUACAUGAUAUUUCAGGAUGCAACAAAAAGCUAAGAAAAUAAAAUAGGAUUAAGCAUUCAGGCACCAGCAUCUAAAAUAAUCUUAAGAUCCUGACAUACCUUAUCAUAGUCAGCUUCAAGCUUGAUCAAUGGUGCAAAUAUGUUUUGAUACUACAUUAAAAGAGUCAAGGCAAGCAUAGUUAAAAUGCCAAUACUCAAUCCAGGGGCAACUCACAACUACAUAGCAGAAUAAUUCCUGCAAUGCAUCUCUAUACAAAUAAAAGGUAAAGGAGAUAAUAUAAUUGUAUCACCCAGCGAGAACCUGAUAGGCAUCUUCAUACUUCAAGGCAACAGGCUGAGGCUCAUCAUCCACACCAGGCUUCUCAAGAUCUUCCAGGGUAGCAUCAGGAUUUGUCUUCCACAAUUCUUCUACUUUGUUGAUUUGUUGAGCACUGAUCUGGCGCGCUCUCAACUGUUCUUGCUCGGAAGGGACCUGCAGCACUCCACACAUCACAAAUACAGGACCGAAAACAGAAACCAAAAGGAACAGAAGGGAAGACUAAGAAAGAGAAUCCGGACCUUAACAAGCCACUGCAAAAAGCACCUGUCAUCAAUGAGUGGGCACCACUGACUCAGGUCCCAGUUCAUAUCCUUUAAUGCAUUAACACUUAGACAAGGUUCUCUACAGAGGAGAACAACGACACUCUCUGUCUUGGCAGAAAUGAAGCCAAGAAGAAAGACAUUUCGGCAUCCACAAUUGUAGCACUCUAGAAUUGUUUCUCCAAGUGGACUGUCUUUAUGAAGACACACCUCCUUGUGUUUUGCUCGCACCUAUAGGAUGAAGUUGAGUAUAUACAACGUCAACCAAAAAAAACACAAUAAAUCCCUUGUUUCUGGAAAUAAAAUCAUAGACUCCCCAAUUGUAGGAAAAGUCAAGAGGAAUAUAACUCUCCAAUGUAAAUCCAUUAAGCAUAAGUGGCCAAUCAAACUGUCUAGAAUGGUGACACUAACAAAAUAUAACAUGCAUUUAAGAUUUUGUAUUUUGUCAGGAAAUUCCCACAGUUUGGAUCAUCUAGAGACAAUUCACUUCCUUAUAAACUAAGAAAGGUGAUGCUUUGGCUUUUCUCCCUGAUGAACAUAUAGAGAGUUUCCCUUUCAACUUCUCUCACAUGAAUAAAUAAGGAACUAUGGUGGAGAUGAAAAUUGCAUGAUUCAGACAAAAGUCAAAACCUUCUUUUUAUUGGGAUAAGAGUUUAUUUUAUCCAAGAGAUCCCCCAGCACAAAAGAGCUGGAAAUAUACAUUACAAAAAAAAAAGAGAAAACCAUAGUUUGUUCACUAAACUUAUCAUAAACUGAGGAAAUCUAGAGUUGAACUCUGAGGAAACUCCUUCUGUUAAAAGAUUGAUGAAGCUAGAUAUAAAUCUACUAUUAUCAUUUUUGUAUAACUCAGACCAACCACUUGUGAUUAUCCUAUUUUUAAUAACAUUUUUAUGGUAACGGCAUUAGUUUUAUUUUCUGAAUAAAUGGCAUCCCAUUGGGUCAUAUUACUAAAGAUAGACUAACAACAGAUCUGAGAAAAUAGGCAAAAUUGUCUUUCCAACAGUAAUCACCUACUACUAAAAUCCAUCUCAAUUAACAUGAAGAAACAGAAUAAAGACUAAUUGGCUAGUCGUGUAUGAUCACUAAGUCAAAGAUAAUUGCAUAAGCUUCACCUACUUCACUUUUCUGGUGCAACCCUGUACAAGUAUUUCCCAUUCCAUACUUCUCCAUGUUUAACCAUGUCCAUACUUUUUCCUCACACAAGUUCCCAGAGAGAACAGAGAGGGGCCAGGGACAAAAGGAGACUACCACAUUAUCUGAAACACGCCCCUGCCACAAGAAAUCCACCUCUUCUGCAGCACCCACUCUUUCUGCAGCUAGUGAGGCACAGCACUGCCUUUUGCUUGAACUAUAUAUACCUCUAUUAAGUCCAAGGGAGUAGUGGGUGUGAGGUUUUCAGACUUAAAUCCUGCUUUUGGUAACAAAAUGCGGUCAGAAAAUUUUGUGCUUCAUUCAAUCACUAUAACUGGAAUCAUCUCAAUUCAUCAUCCAAAUAAACUACAAAAGGAAAAACCAACGCAUCUUCAGCUUACCAAGGGCAUGGCCUUAGGUAAGAGGAUAUGAAGGUUGCAGAUAAAGGUAGAAGGUUAGUAGGUAGUGAUGUUGUCUCACUUUCCAAGGGGAUAGGCUUGGUGGUAAUUUGAUGCAUUCUACCUGUUUCUCCUUUCAUACCAGUAGUAGUAGCAUUAAUCUUGUAGUUUAUUUCUGCUACUGCAUGUUGUUUCAUAUGCUUCGGUUAUUGUGUUAUUUGGCUGUUAUUACUGUUCCUUGUUUUCUAAAUGCUAUGUAAUGCUUUCUUAUGAUUUGAAAUGUCCUCUUUUCUACAGUAUUUUCCUUUUCAAACUGCUUUGAUAUGUGAUAUUUUAGCCAGAGUGUCUUUCCGAAACGGUCUCAACCCUCCCCAUAUGUAUGUUGUUGUUGAUGAUGAUUUAUUUUUGUCUUUUAAUACAAAGAUACUCAUCAGAAACAAAUUAUUUAUAUUAAUAAAGCUAUUUUGAUUCACUAAUCCACAAGAAUCAAAAUAAGCUAAAAUUAAAAUGCACAUAUCUCCUCUUACAUACCAGGUGAUUAACAAUAUGCGAGCCCGAAGUGUUCCCUCUGGAAUUACAGAACCACUUACGGCAAGAUGGCACAUUGCACCUAACUACACAAGCAGGAUUCGCCACUCCACAGUACUUACAAGCAUGCUCAACCCCAAAAUCCCCUUUUCCAUACUCAAAACCCUCAUCAUCCCCUGUCUCUUCAAAAUUCAACCCACUCAUCCCCGCUGCCAAUGCAUCCACCACCGACGCCUGAUUACUACUACUACUAACAUUACUAUUCCCACCUCCACCUCGUGAUUUCGUCGACGGCGAUGCUUCCGACGAUGGAGGCCGAUCAGGUACUUCAGAUACCAGAGAAUCAGAUGGUGUUGGCCACGCAGAAGAUCGAAUUGGCUGUGAAAGCUCUUGAAAUUCAGGAUAAUCAAACUCUUCCCCUUGUGUGUUGAAUUCCAGAAAUGUGUAUGCGUCGUUGCCGGUAUCCGGCUGAGACGCCGUGUCGUAGAGAUUGUUCGGCUGAGAAUCCAUGGUAAAAAAAUCCUUCAACUGCUUCUUACACUGUAUACUUUUCUUCACCAAAAUCAAAAACUGUAUAAUGAAAAACUAGCGUUAAAGGCUGAAUUUUUGCAUGAAAAUUAUGGAUUUUUCGAAGUGAGAUUUUGGUAGAGUGUUCGAAUUUUAGGGUUUGGAAAAAAAAUGGGGAAAGUUAGGGUUCGGUGAAAGGGCCGAUGAAGAAGAAGAAAGAUAUGUUUUUAAGGAAAAAAAAAAUUAAUUGUACAACCAAAAUGUCAUUAUAUUUAACUUUUUAUAGUAUUAUUAAUUUAAUGGUAAUUAAUAUUUAUUUCAAAUAAAAAAAAAUUAAUGUGCAUCAUUUUAUUUUAUUUUACUUUGUAUGUAAUAAAUAGAUAUAUUUUGUUUUGAAAAUAUAAUUAUAUAUUUAAUGAAAUAUCAAAAAAUAGGGUAUGGAGAAAGUAGAAUUUACGCGGCCCCAUUAUAAGAAAAAAAAUUUAAAAUGUUAUUGAAAAUGUUAUUUUAUUUCGAAUAUAUUAUAAGAAAAAAAAUUCGAAUAUAUUAAAAAUGUUAUUUUAUUUCAUUUAACUUUUUUUAUCACAAGAGAUAUCCGCAAUUGCUAUUCUAUGAAUGUGCUUGAGGUAAAAUUCUUGUUUGUAUGCAAUAGAGCUCACAAACCACACCAAAAAGGUAAUCCGCACUAGGCAAUUCUUAUUAUAUUUGACUUCCUAUAGUAUUAUUUUAAUUGUGAUUGAUGGAUUUUGUAUUUGGACUUUUUUUCUUCAUGAGUUAUCUAACAAGUAAGAGAGCGUGAUAAUUGCUAAAUCACCAACUAAAAUUGUUGUUUUCAUCGAGAAGUUGAUCUUAUAAUUGAUAUGAUAGUGAUGUUGGUUGCAACUAUAGCACAAUGAUUAGCUUUUGAUAAUCGAUAACUUCAUUCUUAAUAAAAGUUACAUAUUUAGAUCAUCUUGAAUAUGGAGUUGUGUUCAUUUGGGAGCAUUUUGCCUCCUAAUGUAAGAUUUCCCAACAUGAAUUCAAAUUAAUCAAACUCUAACGCAUAUAUCAAACAUUAGGUGCCACUAACAUUGUACGUUUGAAUAUCGUACAGUUUCUAUCUAAAUUGUCACCAUCUAUGCAAUAAAAUACACUUGAUUGAACAAAUGGUGAUAGUUCAAAUAGAAGAAAAAAAACAAUUGAUAAUUGACCUAUUCAGCUUCAAUAUGUCUUAAUAUAUAGAUGAUGAUAGUACCAACAGGAAAAGAGAAUAAUUGAUAAUCAGAAUUGAAACACACAAAAAAAAAAAAUAGUUAACUUGUGGCUUUGACUAUUAAGCUGAAUCUUUUACACAUUAUGUAUACUAAUUUUUUGACACGUUUGUGUUGCCCGUGGAUUCUAAUUCCUUUAGUACACAAUUUAAGUAAAAUUGCAUCAAAAUUAUGUAACUGAUAUUCCUGAAUAGAUCUGCUCCAAGAACAAAAAGUUCCUCAACUUUUUUUUAACUCAUAGAUGGUGUUUACAUUAACUCAACAACUACAUGACACAUGUCG